UCUUGUUUCACUUUUGUUGCAGAAAACUCCCUGGGAAUGAGAAAUCUUACCAAUGGAGAACUGUUACCCGUUGGUGAUGACUACAAUACCUCCAUUCCUGCAGCAGACUCUGCAACCGAGACUGUUCAGGUGAAUAAACAGGACUCUCAAAAUGAAAACCCUGACGUUUACCACGUAUACUCGACCAUCCCUGAUGAACCAGAUGAUUCUACCAUAGAGAACGGGAUGUACCACUUUCUACAAGCACACUGAUUAAAAAAAAGCUUGAG